GUUAAAGUGUCAUGUAGUUAUGAAUGUCGUGGAUGUGUAAUUACUUUCGCUUUCGAGCGCAUUUUCUGUGAGAGUGAAACUGUGUUUGGGGUAGUCAGUGAAAGUGUGCUGAUGAAAAAACAUCCCUGACAGGUAUAAUGUAGACAUCAGCUCAAUCUGAAUCUUAAGCUUCACGGUUAAGUUUAUGAACACACCUAUUGAAAUAAGAACAGACUGAAUGAAAAGCACCGGGAUGAAUUUUAUCCCUGGAAUUCGAUCUGUCCGUUUAACAGGAUUUUCAGUUGCGUUAAUGCUGUUAUCGACAUGCUCGUGCAGCGACCACCCUGUCGUUAAAGUUAAUGCUAUGGUUGGAGAAGCAGCAGCUCUUCCCUGCAUGUGUCCUCCUGACAGUCCUCCAUAUCUGGUCUGGCAGAAGACCAUCGCUGAUCAGGCACUUGUGGUUAAUUACUAUAAAGAUGACGACCAAGAAGAGAAACAAAUGGCACUCGAGUACAGGAACAGAACAGAGCUGAGGCUGACAGGAAACUGUUCUCUUGUGAUUCAUAGUGUGUGUUCAUCAGACCAAGGACUGUACACCUGUUACUAUAAGAGUAAACCUUUAAGGCAUGAAACAAUCUAUCUGGAGGUCACAGCAAAACAAGUACAAGAAAAAGAGUCAGAUGAACCUCAGAGCGUCUGGAGCACCAUUGUGAUGUCUUCAGUCUGCGGGUUUCUCGUCAUUUUGAUCACAAUUGCUGCAGCAUAUGUGAUAAUUACUUGCAGAAAUAGACAUCAGAUAAGAAGAACAUCCAUUGCAACAUCAAUGAGGAGCAUUUAACAGCUGUCAUUAAUAUAGUGAUCUUUAUCACUGUUUUUAGUGGCUUUUCAUGGAUGGUAGAAAAUGCAACAAACAAAACCAUCAAUAAUGUGCUCGAUCAGACUAUACUCAAAUACAAUGUUUAGUUUUCUCAAAAUCCCUGGAUCUGUCCAAAGUCUGCUGGAUUAUGUGUUUUAUUUCCUAUGGCAGAUUUUUGCUGAUAAAUAAACUGAUAUUUUGGUGCAGGUUAACAGAAAAAUUAUACAAAUUAUUAAUUUAUUUCUACUACUGACAUUUGUAAUAAUACAAAGCUGGUUGAAAAUUGGUGUAAAUGCAACUGUGAAUUGCCAACCAAUGGCUAUCAGCCAUCCAAAACACCCCAGCAAACCACAUAGCACCCAUCCUGAACACCCUAGUAAGUACAUGUAACAUUCUAAUCACAAAAAAAAAACGUUCUUAGAAUAUUAAAAAUAAGCAUUCAAAUAACAUAUUUUGGGUGAAAAUAAAGUUAUUAAAACUUUGUAAGAAACGUCUCUGUGACCUUUAACAUCAUAACCGUGAUAAGAAAACUGUAUAUUUCAAUGUUUUAGAAGCAUUCCAAAACUGGAAUGUUCCUACAGCAUUUGUAUAACUUAUAACAAUUUUUAUUGCCGAUCCUCAAAAUAACAAUUUUAUCUUUGGUGUCAUUUUACAUUUGGUCACUUCAUGCAUGUAGAUUAAUCAGAGCAUGAAAAGAUUCCAUUGCACUGAUACUGACCACAUUCUCUGUAGAAUGUAUAUAGAUAUUCAUUUAAUGUUUUUGCUUUCUAAUAUUUGCUUUGGUUCUGACCAGACUGUUGGAUUCACUGUAACACUUCCAGUGUGUGUGUGUGUUUGCUUUCACAGGGCAUUAGUAAAUGUAGUCAAACAGCAGGAAUCCACCACUGACCCAGAUAUCUAUGUGGGUUGUGUAACAUGUCUCGCAUUCCUGCAUUUAUUGCUUUUAAAGCAGUUUUUUGACAAAGAUGUUGAUUUCUUUCUUUCUUUCUUUCUUUCUUUCUUUCUUUCUUUCUUNUUAAAAAUGCCCCCUAAGCUUUUACGGGUUUGGAACGACAUGGGGUUAAGUGAAUAAUGACAAAAUUUUCAUUUUGGGAUGGAGUAUCUCUUUAAUUCAGCACUAUGGAAGCUUAUUUCCACAAUGAAAAGAAAAAAAUAUUUUAACUUUUUAAUUUUUACUUGCAAUUGCAAGUUUAUAUCUCUCAAUUCUGAAUUUAUGUUAUACAAUUCUCACAUUAUAUCUCAUAAUUUUGACUUUAUAAUCUCAAUUCUGAGUUUAUAUCUCACAAUUCUGAGUCUAUACAAAAGUCAGAAUUGUGAGACAAGGUGAGAAUUAAGAUAUAAACUCGCAUUUGUGAGAAAAAAAAUCUGAACUGUGAAAUAAAAAUAAAAAUCCUUUUUUUUUUAUUCUACGCCAGAAAUAAGUACUCCAUAACUUUUGCAAGACUUUUACUUGUAGAUUAUACAGUAAACUCAUUCAGAAUUGUAAAACUAAAUGUGAGCUCUCUGAAUGCUUGUGUGAGAAAUAAGGAUGCUUAUUUUUCUUUUACUUGCACAAUGACUUCACAAUGAUUAUUUUAGCUCUGUUAAUCUGUCUGUUCCCUGGGAACUGGAGCCAUUGUUUUGUUGUAUACCUUAAGGUCAUAUUUCAUCUCAUGGCUACCUUACUGAGUAUAUGUCAGGUUACAGAGUUAGCAUCCAAAAGAAAGCUUUUCUAGGGAGACAUAAGACCACAAACACCAUUUCACUAUUCCACACAAAUAUACACAAUGAACUUCUAUUGUUCUUUUAGCAAAACAAGUACAAGAAAAAGAGUCAGAUGAACCUCAGAGCGUCUGGAGCACCAUUGUGAUGUCUUCAGUCUGCGGGUUUCUCGUCAUUUUGAUCACAAUUGCUGCAGCAUAUGUGAUAAUUACUUGCAGAAAUAGACAUCAGAUAAGAAGUAAGUCCAUUUUUCCCCUUGUGACCUAAAUGUGUUCAUUGCAGUUAAAAUGAAUUGCAGCUUACAGUAACAAUUUCAUAUGCAUAGUAUAUGAACUCUUCUUGCACCUUGAUGUUUGUUUAGAAGCUCCAGGUUACAUCAAAAUCUGAGCCUAUAAUCAGCAUUUUAAGAGUGAUGUAUGAUGUUUUUCUGACUUUGCAGGAACAUCCAUUGCAACAUCAAUGAGGAGCAUUUAACAGCUGUCAUUAAUAUAGUGAUCUUUAUCACUGUUUUUAGUGGCUUUUCAUGGAUGGUAGAAAAUGCAACAAACAAAACCAUCAAUAAUGUGCUCGAUCAGACUAUACUCAAAUAC
rnacentral:lncRNA from 12 species